rnacentral:rRNA from 1 species
GACGAACGCUGGCGGCGUGCUUAACACAUGCAAGUCGAACGGAAAGGCCCUGCUUGCAGGGUACUCGAGUGGCGAACGGGUGAGUAACACGUGGGUUAUCUGCCCUGCACUUCGGGAUAAGCCUGGGAAACUGGGUCUAAUACCGGAUAGGAGCCAUUUUUAGUGUGAUGGUUGGAAAGUUUUUUCGGUGUAGGAUGAGCCCGCGGCCUAUCAGCUUGUUGGUGGGGUAAUGGCCUACCAAGGCGGCGACGGGUAGCCGGCCUGAGAGGGUGGACAGCCACAUUGGGACUGAGAUACGGCCCAGACUCCUACGGGAGGCAGCAGUGGGGAAUAUUGCACAAUGGGCGCAAGCCUGAUGCAGCGACGCCGCGUGGGGGAUGACGGCCUUCGGGUUGUAAACUCCUUUCGCUAGGGACGAAGCUUUUUGUGACGGUACCUAGAUAAGAAGCACCGGCUAACUACGU